AAGUAGUAGUCCCGAAGAAAUAUGUGAUUAAACAUUGUGCGAUUCGUUAUAUAAAACUUAUACUAAUAAAAUGAAAUAAAUGUUUAACACGUUUGAUUGGUUAGUAUGAUCGACUAAUUGAUUGUUUGAGAACUAAACGUAUAGUAAUGUAUUAUUAACGGUUAACUGGAUAGAGUUAAGUAGUAGUCCCGAAGAAAGUGGUGUCUGGGAGGGUAAUACAUACACAAGCCUUACCCCUACCCGAAAGGGUAGAGAGGCUGUUUCCAAUCGACCCUUGGCGCCCCUAAACA
rnacentral:lncRNA from 1 species